GUGCCAGCAGCCGCGGUAACACGGGGGGAGCAAGCGUUGUUCGGAAUUACUGGGCGUAAAGGGCGUGUAGGCGGUCUGGUAAGUGGGAUGUGAAAUGCCCCGGCUCACCCGGGGACCUGCAUCCCAAACUACCUGGCUUGAGUAUGGGAGAGGAUGAGGGAAUUCCUGGUGUAGCGGUGAAAUGCGUAGAUAUCAGGAGGAACACCGGUGGCGAAAGCGCUCAUCUGGCCCAAUACUGACGCUGAGGCGCGAAAGCUAGGGGAGCAAACGGGAUUAGAUACCCCCGUAGUCC
rnacentral:rRNA from 1 species